UACGUAGGGUGCGAGCGUUGUCCGGAAUUAUUGGGCGUAAAGAGCUCGUAGGCGGUGUGUCACGUCGGCCGUGAAAACCUGCAGCUUAACUGUGGGCGUGCGGUCGAUACGGGGCAUCACUGGAGUUCGGCAGGGGAGACUGGAAUUCCUGGUGUAGCGGUGAAAUGCGCAGAUAUCAGGAGGAACACCGGUGGCGAAGGCGGGUCUCUGGGCCGAUACUGACGCUGAGGAGCGAAAGCCGUGGGGAGCGAACAGG
rnacentral:rRNA from 1 species